rnacentral:rRNA from 1 species
UACGGAGGGUGCGAGCGUUGUCCGGAAUCACUGGGCGUAAAGGGCGCGUAGGCGGCUCGGUAAGUAGGGGGUGAAAUCCUGCGGCUUAACCGCAGGGCUGCCUUCUAAACUGUCGAGCUCGAGCACGGUAGAGGCAGAUGGAAUUCCCGGUGUAGCGGUGGAAUGCGUAGAGAUCGGGAAGAACAUCAGUGGCGAAGGCGACUACCUGGCCUGUUCUUGACGCUGAGGCGCGAAAGCUAGGGGAGCAAACGGG